UCUCGUCGGUGGCAUCAUCGCCACCGCAACACACCAAAAAGAAUAUGACGACGGUGCUUACUGCUAGCCCCAAAACUAGGUCAAAGGUGUCGGUUUCUGCUGCUGUUGUCUCCUUCAACAAGCAGCAGGACGGAGGUAUUCCACGCACCUACUUCGCCAAGCAGACUGACGGAGGUCUUUUGAAAGACUACUUCGCCAAGAAACAUGACGGAGGUAUUCGACGCACCUACUUUGCCAAGCAGUAUGAUGGAGGUCUUUUGAAAGACUACUUCGCCAAGGAAUAUGACGGAGGUGAAUGGGCUGCCUUCUUCGGCAAACAGCAUGACGGGGGUAUUCGACGCACCUACUUCACCAAGGAACAUGACGGAGGUGAAUGGGCUGCCUUCUUCGGCAAACAGCAUGACGGGGGUAUUCGACGCACCUACUUCACCAAGGAACAUGACGGAGGUGAAUGGGCUGCCUUCUUCGGCAAACAGCAGGACGAAGGUAUCCGUCGCACCUACUUCGCCAAGCAACAUGACAGAGGUCUUUUGCGAGAUUAUUUUGCCAAGCAAGAAGACGGAGGUCUUUUACGAGACUAUUUCGCCAAGGAACAGGACGGAGGUCUCUUACGGGACUACUUCGCGAAGGACGAAGGUCUCUUGCGAGACUACUUCGCGAUGGACGGAGGACUUUUGCGAGACUACUUCGCCAAGGAACAGGAUGGAGGUCUCUUGCGAGACUACUUCGCCAAGGAACAGGACGGAGGUCUCAGACAAGGCUACUUUGGCAAGCAACAUGACAGAGGUCUCAGACAAGGCUACUUCGGCAAGGAACAGGACGGAGGUCUUAGACAAGGCUACUUCGGCAAGCAACAGGACGAAGGUCUCCGACAAGGCUACUUCGGCAAACAACAGGACGGAGGUCUCAGACAAGACUACUUCAGCAAGCAACAGGACGGAGGUCUCAGACAAGGCUACUUCGGUAAGCAACAAGACGGAGGUCUCAGGCAAGACUACUUCGCCAAAGACGGAGGUCUCAGGCAAGACUACUUCGCCAAGGACGGAGGUCUCAGGCAAGACUACUUCGCCAAGGACGGAGGUCUCUUGGGAGACUACUUCGCCAAAAAACAAGACGGAGGUCUCUUGGGAGAUUACUUCGCCAAGGAGCAGGACGGUGGGAUGAUAGUAUCUUCGCCGAUGUUCAUGCUUGUCGGCAAGAAUCAAGAUGAAAUACCCUCUAACUGAAUUUCCUUGAUUGUGAAACAUGCUAAGCCCAUAGAAUAAAAUUCAAAGACCUAGCUAGUUAGCUAGCUAGCUUCUUUGAUGAUAAAUAAAAUUAGACUUUUGGGCUUCUUAUUGUAGUAAAAUUAAAUUAAAUUAAUGAUAAUGUUCCUAAUGCUAUAUGUCUAUGGGAAAUACAUGCACAAUUCGAUCAACCGAUUAAACCACCAUUAGAUAGGUCUUACCAAUGAGCUAUAUAUUCGAACAAUAUUUAUUAACGUGAUUCGAUCUCAUUAAUUUAUAAUCCGAAAUGCCAACUCAUCAAACGAUAUAAAACCAGUGGACCUGUGGGCCAACAUGUUUUGAGACAAGAUUCACAUGGAGAGCUGUCAAUUGUGGGCCCCCAGCCCACUUCGUGGCAUGGCAUCCACAUUUCACAGCCUUUCUUUAUCUAUCUCUCCGGCAAAUGUAUUUCAAAUACUAUACAAUAUAUCCUAGUGUAUUUAAUCUUUCUGAAUUCGCAAUUAAUAGUUAUUUAUCAAAUAAUUAAGAUUAUCGGUAAUAUCAUUACGAGGUCUUCACUUGCUUACAUCCUUAAAAUCUCGCCAACAAAUAAGUCCAUCUUAGAACACAACUGAGAUGUUGUUGAUGUGUAGUGAUCACUAGCCACAACCAUCAAACCAUAACGAAAAGGAGAGGAGGGCAAAUAUGACAAUUACAUAUUAUUAUUGGAGAUAUAUCAUCGAAAUCGACAGAUAUAACUCAAAAGUCUUGAAAAAAAUAUAUUUCAAUCAUAUUAUUUAUUUUUUUUAUCGAAUACAAAAGAAAUACAAUGUUCAUAUAUAUAUAGAGUGUGCUGGAACUCGAUACAUUUUAAAUUGUCAACACACAACGUAACUAAUUACAAUAAACUAACUAAGAUAAGCAUAGGUCUGUAUGGUAUAAUUUAAUACUCCAUAACAAAACAAAUGCAAAUAAAAUAAAAAAUAUUAUUUAUAUUAUUGUUAUAACUUUCCUAUUGGCCAUUUGUUUCCUCUAUUAUCAUAUCACCAAUGUCCAACCAACACACCACUUCCCUCCGCCGCCCACUUCUUCCUUCUUCCGCCGUCUCCUCCUCCUCCCAAACCGCCGGCGACAUCUUCCGCCGCCUCCUCUUCAUCAUCUCUAUCGGAUUUCUGUCCCUGUGGGCCAACCACCAAGCAUCCAAAGGCUUCCAACUCCACAUCCUCAACGACCCCGCCGUCGCCGAUUCCUCCGCCGGGAAACGCUUCUCCCUCUUCUACAUCUCCAACGGCCGAGCCGCCUCAAUCCUCCUCAACGCCAGCAAUUUCGUCGAGCACUUGCUCUACUCCGGCCAAAAUCAUGAUCAUCAGAAGCCAGCAAUCCGCCGUGUCACCCUCCGCCUCGCCGCCGACAACUCGACCGGAACCGACGUGUCGACCGCCGAGACCUUCCCCGGCGAGUUCAUCAUACGAUUGAGUCCGUCGCUUCUGAUGUCAGGGCUCGCCAGAAACAGAGUCGACGUCGACUCUGUAGUCAAAUCUGCCGUCUUGCGCGGGAUGGCCUUUGUUUGGCUGUGGGACGGCGGGGACUCGUCGAGAGCUCCGUCUUGGGUGAUCGAAGCUGCUGUUGAGUGCGUAAACAGGAUUGGUGGGUUCGGCGGCGGUAGUACAACGGAUGACAGGGUGGUUGUGCGGGGGUUAAUGGAGUACUGUGAACGGCGGAAAGAAGGGUUCCUUCGGCGGCUGAAUCUGACGACGGUGGAAAGAGCGGCGGCGAUGCCGGUGGAGAAAUUGUGUAUAUCUUAUAAGAAAUGUGGAUCGUCCGCCGAUGUUGAUUUGUGAAUAUUUUUUCUGAUUGUGAUCUCUGGACUGUUCCAUGUGGAUAAUUUUUGUAAGAUAAUGAUUCAGUUAAAAAUUUCAUUUGGUAAUUAUUUGAAUAUUAAAUAAUUUUUAUAAUUCUAAUGGACCGACUGUAUUUUACUCUGAUUUUGCAAAAAUUGUUCGCCUUUUUUAUUUUAGAAUUUCCUUACAUCCGUCUAGACAUUUUUCUUUUUGAAUUUCAAGAUUUGUUNNNNNNNNNNNNNNNNNNNNNNNNNNNNNNNNNUUUUAUAUCACGUUCCUUGUCGAGGUAAUUGAACUUUUUAUUUAAUGACACGUAAAACUUCCUCAAGUGUCGAAGACGAAACGAAACAGUUUUUUUUAUACAAUUUCAAUUGCAUCAGGCAAAUGUUCCGGCCUUCUUGGAAUCAUUUGCGCCAUAAUCACCAUACGAGAAUAUUAACAUAAGCAUACGAGAAAGUUAGCGGUCAUGAAAAUNNNNCGGUCAUGAAAAUCAAAAAUGAUUUUUAAUUUCAGUUGACCAUUAUUUACAUGGGUUAUCAUACUGAAAUCUGGUUUUUUAGUCAUUUCCAACAUGCUUCUCAAAUAUUAACCGAUUUUCAAUUUUCAAUUUUCAUAGGUUAUAUAACACACGAUUUUCACCGAAAAAUUGAAAUUUUUUAAAUUAAUUAAUAUUUCACAUGUAUAUUGAAAAUGACUAAAAUUCAAAUUUCACCAUAUUAAUCCUUCCAAAUAAUAGCCAAAUGAAAUUAAACAACUAUUUUUUUCUAAAACUUUAGAAUAAUGAUGUUAUAUUUAAUUUUAAAGAUUUUCAAAUUGACUAACUUCUUACAAACAUCGACAAAAACUAGAAAUCUAAUUAGUUGUGCCUAGCUCUAUCCGAUAUUUUACGAUACAACGGUAUGUCGAAUUCGGGCCAUUGUUAUAUUGCGUUUCGUUCGUAGACGGACUAAAAGAACUAGACGUGAAACAAGCUCGACCUUGGCUCCAAUGCCUCGACAAGCUUUUAACUACUCUCGGCUAAAUAUCUAAAUCUAAGAGCUACAAAGGUCUGAGUACGUUCCGAGUUAAACACCGAACUACUCGGUUUAUAUUUUGGUUCUACAUCACAAAAUUACUCGGUUUUUGCAACUGCCAAUAAAUCCUUCCAGCUGCAUAACUUCUCCCUGGACUUGUUCCUCUCACACCCAAGCUUCCUCUCUUCACAGUCUAUCAUUUCCCAACCGUUGAAGUCCACAACUCUCACAUUCCUACCGUCUAGUAACUCGACGAGCCCUUCCCUGCCCGGCUUCUUUGAUGGUGACCCUAUCAAGCCGUGUUCAAGGUCGUGCGAUAUGCUUGCAACCUAAACCCGAACAACAACAGAGUUAGAACGUUGUUUACAAGGUGUGAUUUUUCGCACCAUGUUGAACUGAACUUACGGUUUCUUCUGCACAGUGUAGGUUUGUUCCGAUGAUGCCAGUCGGUCCUCUCUUCAGCCACCCACAUACGUAUAAACCAUUCUCGAUUUUGGUAUCGGGAUCUUCGCAGGUAACGCUAAUAACCCGUCCCCCUGCAUUGGGUACUAUCCCUAUGAACAACCGAAAUUGAAUUAGUAUAAGUUACUCCAGCUGGAUGUAUUAGAUUCAGAGCUAAACGCAUAAAUCCUUUCUUUUAUGGUAUCUUUACCUUUUCGAUGAUCGAAUGGUAAACCGGGAACAGGCACGGAUUUGUAACCAAUGCUCUUCAAAACCAUCCUGACAAACAGUGUAGAUUGGAAUUACUUAGCCAGUAAAAGAUCGAUCCAACCAAGCAACUGAAACUAAAAAGAUCGAACUGCAAAAGUAAAUUACCCGCACUCGAGGUCCUCAAACUGCCCACUGCCAACCGCAAUCUGGUUUCCGGAGCCAACACCUUUGAGAACCGUCUUCUCGAAGUUUACGCUGGAAACAUGCCCUGGCAAGUCGGUUGACUCGGAGAAACCAUCCGGCUUUCGCAAGAACAAAAAGUGCAGUUCGCGUUGAUCCGAACUAGGAAGGGCAUGUCCAGUGCUGGCAGCUUUCGAAAGCAACUCGUAAACCCUCCUUCUGAUACGGUUAUUCUUCAGUUCCUCCUUCAACAAACAAAAAUGCAAUAAGAGGGUAGCUCGUCCUUUCCUCAACCAAGUUCUGCACUUUCUCUCUUUAAACCAGAUGAAUAGGCAGAGCAAUCUACAACAUCAUCUCCUUGAAGCAACUCAAAGUGCAUUGCGACGUAAACAUACCUCGUCUUCCGAGCUUUUGCAUAAAUCUUCUUCCUUUAUGUGAAUAUGCAAGUUUUUUGUUCCUAGAAUUUCUCGUAGUUCUUUGGCAGUGCAAGCGGCUUGAGCUGGUCCACGUCUUCCAACCAAAUAGACUUUUCUGCAGCAUCAACUCAUUCAUCAAUACAAAAAAUCUCGAUCCUCUUACAAAGUCACUUAUAACUAAAAGGGAAAAAAAGAUUGCAAGAGAAGAAGGAACCUUAUGGAGCUUUGUUCUAAAGCGGCCAAAGCAUGGCUGGCAAUGUCAGUUGUUGCCAACUCCGCUGUUGGCCUUAGAAGGACUCGAGCAACAUCGAGAGCUACGUUUCCCUGCCGAAGAGGAUUUCGAAAAAUAAAUGUUAAACCGGUCUGUUUUUUAUAUACUAGAUACUAUGGCACUUAACAAUACCUGUCCAAGUAUAACAGCUGUAUCAGUAUUGUUCAAAUCAGGACUCAAGUUUCUGCAAUCAGGAUGCCCGUUAUACCACCAAACGAAUUCUCUGGCUGAGUAUAUCCCUGCCAGAUCCUGAAACAUAAACCAGCAGUCAAGAUCGUUCGAUCAACGAUUGUACUAAAAGCAGCAAAAUUUGAUCAAGUUUCGUUAACAUACCUCUCCAGGAAUGCCUAAAUCUCUGUCGCUUUCAGCACCAUAUGCAAGAACAACCACAUCAUACAAGCCACGAAGCUCGGAGAGCGAGACAGAAGAUCCAAGAGCUACAUUGCCGAAAAACGAGCAUCUUUCGUUUUGUGUCACCACCCUCGAGAACUGAUUCGUCACAAUCUGUUCCAAGUUUUCUGGUAAAGUAAGCUCAGUUAACAGAAGUUUAUUUAUCUCCAACGGAAAUGAAGAACGUUGAACACAAUCCAAAGCAUGUUAGGAACUUCCUUGAGUUAAUCCUCCUAAACUAUUACAAAUUCACCUUUCCUUCAUAUCUUCCAAACAGGGAAACUAAUUUCGAUGCAUGAAGCAGCAAGAAAUUCAACAAAAUCGAACCUUGGUUUCAGGAUGAUCAGGGGCAACUCCAGACCGCACUAAUCCAAAAGGCGUGGGCAAUCGAUCGAUGAUGUCAACUUCUGCUCCUCGGUGCGCCUUCAGCAUCUGAAAAAUUGGAUAAAUGAAAGCAUCAAUUCCAAUCCAGAAAUUUAAAACUACUGGAAGGAUAAAACAAAUAGCAGCAAUUUACUUUCUCGGCGGUGUACAUGCCGGCAGGUCCACUGCCGACCACACAGACGCGAAGAUGAUUAGAAGGAAGAAGAGUUGUGAGACUUCUGGAAACCCAUGUUCUUGCUCCUAACAUCGCCAUUGCCGGCCUCGAUUUCUUCAACGUCGAGGAACUCGCCGGCGGCCAGACUAGUGUUUCUAGCUGGAAUCUUCCGAGAAGCGGAGAGCCAGUGAGCUACAAAGCAGAGACAGAGGAGGAAGGUGAAAGGGUGGGCUCAUGGGCCUAAUUGGGCUAUUUGAAACAAUGAUCACAGAAGUUGGGCCCUGAGAACACAACGUAAAGCCCAUCGUAGUUUAUAAUGCUGACCAUGUCAUUAUAAUCGUGUGUAUUAUCAGGAAAGCAUAAGUGAAUUUUAAUAAUUUUAUUUCAAAAUCGCUACUUUAUUCUCUUAUAGAUUUCAGACUAAGAAUUACUCAAAGAGUAUGUAUCGAGUUGAAUAUUGAUCGACUCAUUUUGCUUAACAAUCGUGUUUUUCCUACUCGAGUUCAUUUCGUAUAGCUUCUUAACAAAGUUUCAUAAGGUUGAACUAAUUUGUCUGAUUAGUAAUCUCGUUUUUAGCGCUUAUAUUCAAUCUCAUGUCUUUUCUUAAAUUCGUAUCUGGUAAAACCAUCCGACCUUACGUCACUUACAUAAGCAGUUGAUACGACCUAAUCACGAUUCAACUACAAAUAUUUAACGGUUUAAUCACAUUCGGUUAGACUUACCAACAAUUCCAAUAAAGCGAGAGGACAAAGUAGUAAAAUCAGCGGGGACAACCUAAACAGAGUAACAGAAAGAUUAACAGCAACCGUCAGAUGAAUCUACGUGGCGAGCCCCCAGCACCGUAAAUUGGCGGGUACACACGUCAGC
rnacentral:lncRNA from 1 species